rnacentral:lncRNA from 1 species
UCCCAUGGUUGAUCUUUGAUGUUUUUCCUCCGAUCUUUCAUGUUUUAACAAGCUUUAUGUUGAUUUGAAGAUAUUUGAACAAAAAGAGCAAGUUUUGAAGCUUGGAGACCAAAGAGUUGAUUUCUCCCCAUCUCCGAGCUAGGAUCGUCUCUCCUCUCAUUCUUCAAGAGGUAAGAGUAGAUCCAUAGUUCAUUUCAUGUUUUAAGCAAGUUUUAUGAAGU